GGAAUAUAGUUCAGUUGUUAGAAUGCUUGCCUUGCAUGCACAAGGACCUGGGUUUAAUCCCCAGCACCA
rnacentral:tRNA from 1 species